rnacentral:rRNA from 1 species
AAUAGAUACCCGGUAGUCCACGCCGUAAACGAUGAGUGCUAAGUGUUAGGGGGUUUCCGCCCCUUAGUGCUGCAGCUAACGCAUUAAGCACUCCGCCUGGGGAGUACGGUCGCAAGACUGAAACUCAAAGGAAUUGACGGGGGCCCGCACAAGCGGUGGAGCAUGUGGUUUAAUUCGAAGCAACGCGAAGAACCUUACCAGGUCUUGACAUCCCAUUGACCACUAUGGAGACAUAGUUUUCCCUUCGGGGACAACGGUGACAGGUGGUGCAUGGUUGUCGUCAGCUCGUGUCGUGAGAUGUUGGGUUAAGUCCCGCAACGAGCGCAACCCUUGUUCUUAGUUGCCAUCAUUUAGUUGGGCACUCUAAGGAGACUGCCGGUGACAAACCGGAGGAAGGUGGGGAUGACGUCAAAUCAUCAUGCCCCUUAUGACCUGGGCUACACACGUGCUACAAUGGACGGUACAAACGGUUGCCAACCCGCGAGGGGGAGCUAAUCCGAUAAAACCGUUCUCAGUUCGGAUUGUAGGCUGCAACUCGCCUACAUGAAGACCG